rnacentral:rRNA from 1 species
AUUGAACGCUGGCGGCAGGCCUAACACAUGCAAGUCGAACGGUAACAGGAAGCAGCUUGCUGCUUUUCUGACGAGUGGCGGACGGGUGAGUAAUGUCUGGGAAACUGCCUGAUGGAGGGGGAUAACUACUGGAAACGGUAGCUAAUACCGCAUAACGUCGCAAGACCAAAGAGGGGGACCUUCGGGCCUCUUGCCAUCGGAUGUGCCCAGAUGUGAUUAGCUAGUAGGUGGGGUAACGGCUCACCUAGGCGACGAUCCCUAGCUGGUCUGAGAGGAUGACCAGCCACACUGGAACUGAGACACGGUCCAGACUCCUACGGGAGGCAGCAGUGGGGAAUAUUGCACAAUGGGCGCAAGCCUGAUGCAGCCAUGCCGCGUGUAUGAAGAAGGCCUUCGGGUUGUAAAGUACUUUCAGAGGGGAGGAAGGGAGUAAAGUGAAUACCUUAGCUGAUUGAAGUUACACGCAGAAGAAGCACCGGCUAACUCAGUG